UACAGGGGGGGCAAGCGUUGUUCGGAAUUACUGGGCGUAAAGGGCUCGUAGGUGGCCAACUAAGUCAGACGUGAAAUCCCUCAGCUUAACUGGGGAACUGCGUCUGAUACUGGAUGGCUUGAGUUUGGGAGAGGGAUGCGGAAUUCCAGGUGUAGCGGUGAAAUGCGUAGAUACCUGGAGGAACACCGGUGGCGAAGGCGGCAUCCUGGACCAACACUGACACUGAGGAGCGAAAGCCAGGGGAGCAAACGGG
rnacentral:rRNA from 1 species